rnacentral:rRNA from 1 species
UAAGGAAUAUUGCUCAAUGGGAGAAAUCCUGAAGCAGUAACGCCGCGUGGAGGAUGAAGGGUCUAUGACUUGUAAACUCCUGUAAAGAAGGAAAAAAUUCACAUUAGAAGGGAGAUGAUGGUACUUCUGGAGUAAGCACCGGCUAACUACGUGCCAGCAGCCGCGGUAAUACGUAGGGGGCAAGAGUUGUCCGGAUUUACUGGGUGUAAAGGGUGCUCAGGCGGAUUUGUAAGUCAGAGGUGAAAUCUUACAGCUUAACUGUGAAACUUCCUUGGAUACUGCAAGCCUAGAGUAUGGAAGAGAGUGAUGGAAUAUCUGGUGUAGCAGUGAAAUGCGUAGGUAUCAGAUAGAACACCAAUGGCGAAGGCAGUCACUUGGUCCAUUAC